UCCGUUAUGGUGUAAUGGUUAACAUUAUCGCCUCUCAUUCUUUGAGACCUGCGGGCGCGAUAGCUCAGGGUUCGAUUCCCUGUAACGGAA